GGUCAAUGAUGAACAGUAAAAGGUCUGAUUACCCACAAUCCCCUCCGGCUGCCUCCAGCUCCCAGCAGCCGCCUCUCUUUCCCAUCAUGCUCCAGUGCUGCAGCGAUGGUCCCGGCGGCUGCUGACACACAGGAAGUGACAUCACGUAGUGGAGUCUGCACUGAGAACCUGCAGCCUCCCUGUGAUUGACAUCCCACAGAACCAAUCAGCACGGAGCUCAGGCCCAGGAGGAGGAGGAGGAGGGAUGAUCUCAAGUUUUCAAGCUGAGACC